rnacentral:rRNA from 1 species
GUGUACGGCCAUUCCGCCCUGAACGAGCUCCAUCCCAUCUGAUCUCGGAAGCUAAGCAGGGUCGGGCCUGGUUAGUACUUGGAUGAGAGACCACCUAGGAAGACCAGGUGCUAUAGAUG